rnacentral:lncRNA from 1 species
GUAGUAAUUUUCAUUAUGAUCGCGAUGACAGUCUCGAUCGAGAGUGACACAGCGUUUUGGGAGUUAUUCCACGAACCUGUAGUUCCAUCAAGAAUCGCAGUGAUAGGACUAAAAGCUAGUGCGACGGCUGUCGUAAAUUCAGCUGCUAUAAUCGCUGGUCAAUUUAUCAGACUCCAUUAGCAAUUGCAUCUUCCGGUCCAACUACGGUCGCGGAAACAACAAAAGAUCCGACUAUGGUUGCCGAAGUUGAACCAACAAAGCUACAGAACCGGGUCCGACAGCGAUCACGGAGGAUGAAACCGGUCACUGCAGCGGCAAAUGCAACAGGUCCUAGAACUGCUACGCCGUUUCCUGCAGCAUUCAUAAUCAUCACGCUAUUAUGCCCGAUACUUCAACCGAUGUUGAGAGCGACGUUGACGAUUCGAAAUCAAAGAAGUCAAGUUUGUUGAUUUGUCCUCGUACAGUCAGGAUUUAUACAGUCAAUCUAAUGAGAAGUUAUAACGGUAUAGCUGUCAAUUCUACGGAAAAUCGCUAAUAAUAUACGAUAUGAACUGGUUAUAUAAAGGCAAGACUAUGACAUAUAAUUAAAAAUCUAGAUCUUCUAUAAAUAUAUACAUAUAAUUCAUAUGAUACAUACAGGA